rnacentral:rRNA from 1 species
AGAGCGAACGCUGGCGGCAGGCCUAACACAUGCAAGUCGAGCGCGUGUAGCAAUACACGAGCGGCAGACGGGAGAGUAACACGUGGGAACGCGCCCUUUGGUUCGGAAUAACUCAGGGAAACUUGAGCUAAUACCGGAUAAGCCCUUACGGGGAAAGAUUUAUCGCCAAAGGAACGGCCCGCGUCCGAUUAGCUAGUUGGUGAGGUAACGGCUCACCAAGGCGACGAUCGGUAGCUGGUCUAAGAGGAUGAUCAGCCUCACUGGGACUGAGACACGGCCCAGACUCCUACGGGAGGCAGCAGUGGGGAAUAUUGGACAAUGGGCGCAAGCCUGAUCCAGCCAUGCCGCGUGGAUGAUGAAGGCCUUAGGGUUGUAAAGUCCUUUUAACGGGGAAGAUAAUGACGGUACCCGUAGAAUAAGCCCCGGCUAACUUCGCGCCAGCAGCCGC